rnacentral:lncRNA from 1 species
UGCAGGGAGCACAUGGAUCAGCCUGGGAUUCAAGGGAAACUCAAAAUUCCCAUCCCAGUUUGGAAUUGGAAAUCCCAAAAAUGAGUCUCGAAAAUCAUGGAAUAAGAUUAAACCACCCUGAGAGGGUUUCAUUUCUGGAGCCACAAAUGCAUCCAUCAACCUCAAAUCCAGCAAAUCCAAACCUCUGGAAGGAAAUAAAAGGAUUCAGGGAGGACAGGGAUCAUCCCAGGGAUGCAGGAAAAACUGGGAUCGUCAUCCCGGGGAUUCAGGAAGGAUCGGGAUCAUCCCGAACCCUUUUAGGGCCCCAUAAUCCUCACCAGAUCCAUCCCAGCCUGGAAUGGGAAGCAGCUCCUGGGGCUGCUCAUCCUGUGGGAUUCCCAUGCCAAGGACACAGGCACGGAAAACCGGGAUGGGAUUGGGAAUGCUCCUGGAGGGAUCCCUGAGCCUUUCCAGUCCCUGGCCUUGCACAGCCCUUCCCAUCCCGGGGUAUCCCUGUGCUCUGGCUGUCACAUCCCGGUGUAUCCCGGUGAAUCCCGGUGUAUCCCGGUGAAUCCCGGUGAAUCCCGGCAAUUCUCCCACGCGGAGCACCUGCUCCCACUGCAGCAGGCAGGGAAUGCCCGGCAGCAGGCUGGGAAGGGCCGAUCCUCUGGAUCCUCUGGAUCCUCUGGAUCCUCUCCCCAGCCUCCCUCUGGAAUUUGGGAGGCCAGGAGGUGGGGCAGGUGCCUGGAGGUGGGGCGGUUAUCCCGGGAAAUCCGGGAUAGGCAAGUUCCCCCAGCCCACAGCUCGCUGUUAUCCCAACCCUCCCGCUCUGGGAAGGAAGGAUUGAUUUUCCUGGGAGAUCCGGGCUCCAGGCAGGUUUCCCCAUCCCACAGCUCCCUGUUAUCCCAACCCUCCCGCUCUGGGAAGGAAGGAUUGAUUUUCCUGGUCACGCUGGUGCUCGCUGAGCCGGGCCCGGAUCCCGGGAACAAUCCCAGCCGUGCUCGGCCUCGCACACACAGGCAGGGAAUCCAUGGAGCUCCCUCUCCCGAGGGGAGCAGCUCCCAAACCUCUGGAAUUUGUUAUCCAGGAGCGUUCCUGCAGGUUCGGGAUCCGCAGGAGCGCAGGGAUCCUCACAAGAGCCUCCUGCCCCUAAAACCGUGGGGUUUAGGGAUGGGAUGGAGCAGAACCUC